CUACGGGGGGCAGCAGUGAGGAAUAUUGCACAAUGGAGGAAACUCUGAUGCAGCAACGCCGCGUGGAGGAUGACGCAUUUCGGUGUGUAAACUCCUUUUAUAUGUCAAGAAAAUGACGGUAGCAUAUGAAUAAGCUCCGGCUAACUCCGUGCCAGCAGCCGCGGUAAUACGGAGGGAGCAAGCGUUACUCGGAAUCACUGGGCGUAAAGGACGCGUAGGCGUGAUAGAAAGUCAGGUGUGAAAUCCUAUGGCUCAACCAUAGAACUGCACUUGAAACUUCUAACCUAGAGUAUGGGAGGGGAAGGUGGAAUUAGUGGUGUAGGGGUAAAAUCCGUAGAUAUCACUAGGAAUACCAAGAGCGAAGGCGAUCUUCUGGAACAAUACUGACGCUAAGGCGUGAAAGCGUGGGGAGCAAACAGGAUUAGAUACCCUCGUAGUC
rnacentral:rRNA from 1 species